AAUUAUCGGUAGUUUACUACCGUUUGAAGGGGGUGGAAAGUUUCCAGGUCUUCCUGGGGGUGAGUACAUCCUAUUCUUAACCCUUGACUUUUUGCGCACUCAUGUUUCCUCGGCGGGCUUGCCUGCCGAAUGGACAAACCAAUAACCUAUUUAAUAUUUAAUCAGCGUCUGAAUUAUUUUAAUAAUUACAACUUUCAACAACGGAUCUCUUGGUUCUGGCAUCGAUGAAGAACGCAGCGAAAUGCGAUAAGUAGUGUGAAUUGCAGAAUUCAGUGAAUCAUCGAAUCUUUGAACGCACAUUGCGCCCCUUGGUAUUCCAUGGGGCAUGCCUGUUCGAGCGUCAUUUGUACUCUCAAGCCUUGCUUGGUGUUGGGUGUUUGUCUCUGCUCUGCUUAGACUCGCCUUAAAUAUAUUGGCAGCCGGUAUACUGGUUUGAAGCGCAGCACAUUUGCAAUUCAAGCCUGCUAUUAUUGGUAUCCACAAAGAAUAUCAACACUUUUGACCUCGGAUCAGGUAGGGAUACCCGCUG
rnacentral:rRNA from 1 species